rnacentral:rRNA from 1 species
UGGGGAAUAUUGCACAAUGGGGGAAACCCUGAUGCAGCAACGCCGCGUGAAGGAUGAAGGUUUUCGGAUCGUAAACUUCUAUCAAUAGGGACGAAACAAAUGACGGUACCUAAAUAAGAAGCCCCGGCUAACUACGUGCCAGCAGCCGCGGUAAUACGUAGGGGGCAAGCGUUAUCCGGAAUUACUGGGUGUAAAGGGAGCGUAGGCGGCAUGUCAAGCCAGAUGUGAAAGCCCGGGGCUUAACUCCGUGGAUUGCAUUUGGAACUGGCAAGCUAGAGUACAGGAGAGGAAAGCGGAAUUCCUAGUGUAGCGGUGAAAUGCGUAGAUAUUAGGAAGAACACCAGUGGCGAAGGCGGCUUUCUGGACUGAAACUGACGCUGAGGCUCGAAAGCGUGGGGAGCAAACAGGAUUAGAUACCCUGGUAGU